ACAUGUCUUAAUGGGAUAUUUAUUAAGUCUAACCUGCUCAAUGAAUAUUUAUUUAAAUAGCCGCAGUAUUUUGACUGUGCGAAGGUAGCAUAAUCAUNUGUCUUUUAAUUGAAGGCUAGUAUGAAUGGUUGGAUGAGGGAAUAGCUUUCUUUAAAUUAUAUUGUUGAAUUUAAUAUUUUAGUUAAAAAGCUACAAAUAUUUUAAUGGGACGAGAAGACCCUAUAGA
rnacentral:rRNA from 1 species